rnacentral:rRNA from 1 species
AUAUGGUAGGAGAGCGUUCUGUAAGCCUGCGAAGGUGUCUUGUAAAGGAUGCUGGAGGUAUCAGAAGUGCGAAUGCUGACAUGAGUAGCGAUAAUGGGGGUGAAAAGCCUCCACGCCGUAAGCCCAAGGUUUCCUGUUCAACGUUCAUCGGAGCAGGGUGAGUCGGCCCCUAAGGCGAGGCAGAGAUGCGUAGCUGAUGGGAAGCAGGUUAAUAUUCCUGCACCGUCGUAUGAUGCGAUGGGGGGACGGAUCGCGGAAGGUUGUCCGGGUGUUGGAUGUCCCGGUUCUUGACUCAUAGAAGGCGCUUAGGCAAAUCCGGGCGCGGAAUUCAAGGGGUUGAGACCAGAAACCUAGGUUUCGAAGCAAUCGGAAGUGGUUCCAAGAAAAGCCUCUAAGCUUCAGUCAUACGAGACCGUACCGCAAACCGACACAGGUGGGCGAGAUGAGUAUUCUAAGGCGCUUGAGAGAACUCGGGAGAAGGAACUCGGCAAAUUGGUACCGUAACUUCGGGAAAAGGUACGCCCCGGUAGCUUGAUUGGUUUACUCCAUGAGGGUGAAAGGGUUGCAAUAAACUGGUGGCUGCGACUGUUUAAUAAAAACACAGCACUCUGCAAACACGAAAGUGGACGUAUAGGGUGUGACGCCUGCCCGGUGCUGGAAGAUUAAAUGAUGGGGUGCAAGCUCUUGAUUGAAGUCCCAGUAAACGGCGGCCGUAACUAUAACGGUCCUAAGGUAGCGAAAUUCCUUGUCGGGUAAGUUCCGACCUGCACGAAUGGCGUAACGAUGGCCACACUGUCUCCUCCCGAGACUCAGCGAAGUUGAAAUGUUUGUGAUGAUGCAAUCUACCCGCGGCUAGACGGAAAGACCCCAUGAACCUUUACUGUAGCUUUGCAUUGGACUUUGAACCAAUCUGUGUAGGAUAGGUGGGAGGCUUUGAAGCGGUGACGCCAGUCAUCGUGGAGCCAACCUUGAAAUACCACCCUGGUUUGUUUGAGGUUCUAACCUUGGUCCGUUAUCCGGAUCGGGGACAGUGCAUGGUAGGCAGUUUGACUGGGGCGGUCUCCUCCUAAAGUGUAACGGAGGAGUUCGAAGGUACGCUAGAUACGGUCGGACAUCGUGUUGAUAGUGCAAUGGCAUAAGCGUGCUUAACUGCGAGACUGACAAGUCGAGCAGGUACGAAAGUAGGACAUAGUGAUCCGGUGGUUCUGUAUGGAAGGGCCAUCGCUCAACGGAUAAAAGGUACUCUGGGGAUAACAGGCUGAUUCCUCCCAAGAGUUCAUAUCGACGGGGGAGUUUGGCACCUCGAUGUCGGCUCAUCACAUCCUGGGGCUGUAGCCGGUCCCAAGGGUAUGGCUGUUCGCCAUUUAAAGUGGUACGUGAGCUGGGUUUAAAACGUCGUGAGACAGUUUGGUCCCUAUCUGCCGUGGGCGUUGGAAAUUUGAAGGGGGCUGCUCCUAGUACGAGAGGACCGGAGUGGACAGACCUCUGGUGUACCGGUUGUCACGCCAGUGGCAUUGCCGGGUAGCUAAGUCUGGAAGAGAUAACCGCUGAAAGCAUCUAAGCGGGAAACUUGCCUUGAGAUGAGAUUUCCCAGAGCCUUGAGCUCUUUAAAGGGUCGUUCGAGACCAGGACGUUGAUAGGUCAGGUGUGGAAGUGCAGUAAUGCAUUAAGCUAACUGAUACUAAUUGCCCGUACGGCUUGUCCCUAUAACCUUAGCAGGU